AUUGAACGCUGGCGGCAGGCCUAACACAUGCAAGUCGAGCGAGCGGCGGACGGGUGAGUAAUGUAUGGGGAUCUGCCCGAUAGAGGGGGAUAACUACUGGAAACGGUGGCUAAUACCGCAUACCAUCGGAUGUGCCCAGAUGGGAUUAGCUAGUAGGUGGGGUAACGGCUCACCUAGGCGACGAUCCCUAGCUGGUCUGAGAGGAUGACCAGCCACACGGGAACUGAGACACGGUCCAGACUCCUACGGGAGGAAGCAGUGGGGAAUUUUGAAAAAUGGGCGCAGGCCUGAUGCAGCCAUGCCGCGUGGAUGAAGAAUGCCUUCGGGUUGUAAAGUACUUUCGGCGGGGAGGCGUUACUCGCAGAAGAAGCACCGGCUAACUCCGUGCCAGCGGCCGCGGUAAUAC
rnacentral:rRNA from 1 species